GUCGUUGAGAGCCGCCUUAGCAACAGCUUGUGAGCUGUGAAGACUUGGGUUGGGCGGGGCUGUGGGAGGUGACGCCGGGAGGUCACGGCUGAGAGUGCCGGCUGGGGACAUGAUUGCAAUGUGGGCCUUAGGAUUUGAACCAAAGGUUGAAGAAAUUUUAAAAAUGAUAGCUGAAAUUGAUAAGGAAGGAAUUGGCACCAUUAGUUUUGAAGAUUUUUUUUGCCAUUGAAAUGCUUGAUGAAGCUGAUCAUGAUGGAGAUGGAAAAAUAAAUGAGGAAGUAUUUUUGAAAGUGAUGAAAAAGACUACUUUAUUAAUGGUGUUGUUUUGGUCCUUGUGGAAAAUUAACAAAUUUGUAUUUGUUAUACAGUUUUGUACUUUAAUAUCUGAAUGUAUUCAUUUUAAGUUUUUAGUUUAUAUGUACACAUUGGCUUCUUGAUGUCUAAUCCAUGUAAGAAGUUACACAUCUCUACCAGUAUGUUGUUAAAUCUACAGCAUCAAGAAACAAAACAUAAUGACUUCUUUGAACCAUUAAUCCAAGAACAGUAUUAAUUCUACCCGCUCUUUUGAGAACCCUAGGUCACAAGGAGUUAGAAUUUUUAAGUUUGAUGAAGUUGGUUUCACAUCCAAAUAAAUUUGGCAAACAAA